rnacentral:rRNA from 1 species
AUUGAACGCUGGCGGCAGGCCUAACACAUGCAAGUCGAGCGGAUGAAGGGAGCUUGCUCCUGGAUUCAGCGGCGGACGGGUGAGUAAUGCCUAGGAAUCUGCCUGGUAGUGGGGGAUAACGUCCGGAAACGGGCGCUAAUACCGCAUACGUCCUGAGGGAGAAAGUGGGGGAUCCUCGGACCUCACGCUAUCAGAUGAGCCUAGGUCGGAUUAGCUAGUUGGUGGGGUAAAGGCCUACCAAGGCGACGAUCCGUAACUAGUCUGAGAGGAUGAUCAGUCACACUGGAACUGAGACACGGUCCAGACUCCUACGGGAGGCAGCAGUGGGGAAUAUUGGACAAUGGGCGAAAGCCUGAUCCAGCCAUGCCGCGUGUGUGAAGAAGGUCUUCGGAUUGUAAAGCACUUUAAGUUGGGAGGAAGGGCAGUAAGUUAAUACCUUGCUGUUUUGACGUUACCAACAGAAUAAGCACCGGCUAACUUCGUG